rnacentral:rRNA from 1 species
AAACUCGGCAAACUCACACCGUAACUUCGGGAGAAGGUGUGCCGUCGGGAGUGUAGGAGCUUGCCUCCGAAGCACUCGGCGGUCGCAGUGAAAAGUCCCAGGCGACUGUUUACUAAAAACACAGGACUCUGCAAAGUCAAAAACGACGUAUAGGGUCUGACGCCUGCCCGGUGCCGGAAGGUUAAGAGGAGGGGUCAGCUUUCGGGCGAAGCUCUGAAUCGAAGCCCCGGUAAACGGCGGCCGUAACAAUAACGGUCCUAAGGUAGCGAAAUUCCUUGUCGGGUAAGUUCCGACCUGCACGAAUGGCGUAACGAUCUGGGAGCUGUCUCCACAGGGGGCUCAGCGAAUCUGUAGCACCGGUGAAGAUGCCGGUUACCCGUACGUAGACGGAAAGACCCUGUGCACCUUUACUGCACCCUGGCAGUGAACCCCGGUGCGCUAUGUGUAGGAUAGGUGGGAGGCUGUGAAGUCGGAGCGCUAGCUUCGGUGGAGCCAACGGUGAAAUACCACCCUUAGCGUACUGGAGUUCUAACUGAGGUCCGUGAUCCGGAUCCAGGACAUUGUCAGGCGGGUAGUUUGACUGGGGCGGUCGCCUCCCAAAUUGUAACGGAGGCGCGCGAAGGUUCCCUCAGGCUGAUUGGAAACCAGCCGCAGAGCGCAAAGGCAUAAGGGAGCUUGACUGCGAGACCCACAAGUCGAGCAGGUACGAAAGUAGGCCUUAGUGAUCCGGUGGUCCCGCAUGGAAGGGCCAUCGCUCAACGGAUAAAAGGUACGCCGGGGAUAACAGGCUGAUCUCCGCCAAGAGUCCACAUCGACGCGGAGGUUUGGCACCUCGAUGUCGGCUCAUCACAUCCUGGGGCUGAAGCCGGUCCCAAGGGUUCGGCUGUUCGCCGAUUAAAGUGGUACGUGAGCUGGGUUUAGAACGUCGCGAGACAGUUCGGUCCCUAUCUCGUGUGGGCGUAGGAGACUUGAGAGGAUUUGUCCCUAGUACGAGAGGACCGGGAUGGACGAACCUCUAGUGCACCAGUUGUCGCGCCAGCGGCAUCGCUGGGUAGCUAAGUUCGGAAAGGAUAACCGCUGAAAGCAUCUAAGCGGGAAGCCCCCCUCAAGAUAAGGUCUCCCUGAAGGCCCCUGGAAGAUGACCAGGUUGAUAGGCAGGAGGUGUAAGCGCUGCGAGGCGUUGAGCUGACCUGUACUAAUCGGCCGAUUGGCUUGACCG